rnacentral:tRNA from 1 species
UCGGAUAUGGUGUAACGGUUAACAUUGCCGCCUCUCACUACGGAGAAGUGUAAAUGUCGCGGCAGCUCGGGGUUCGAUUCCCCGUAUCCGAA